GUUAAACGUAGCAGUGGGUUUCAGUUAUCAACGUUGGACCGUCGGUUUUGAAAAAAAAAUUAUAAAUAAUAGUUUUAUUGUUAUUAGAUGAUAAAACAUGAAUAAUACUUUAUACGUGUCUUAAUUUUUAAUUUUUUUUUAAAUAAAACGGACGGUCAAACGUUGAACACGGAAACUUAUGGCUACACUUAAA
rfam:Oryza meridionalis cultivar OR44 (W2112) chromosome 6, whole genome shotgun sequence.